AGAGUUUGAUCCUGGCUCAGAACGAACGCUGGCGGCAGGCUUAACACAUGCAAGUCGAGCGAACCGAGGGACUUCGGUCUUGAGGCUAGCGGCGGACGGGUGAGUAACGCGUGGGAACGUGCCCUUAGGUACGGAACAACAGUUGGAAACGACUGCUAAUACCGUAUGAUCCUCCUCGAUAGCGAUAUUGGGGAGGCAAAGAUUUAUCGCCUAGGGAUCGGCCCGCGUUGGAUUAGGUAGUUGGUGGGGUAAUGGCCUACCAAGCCGACGAUCCAUAGCUGGUUUGAGAGGAUGAUCAGCCACACUGGGACUGAGACACGGCCCAGACUCCUACGGGAGGCAGCAGUGGGGAAUCUUGGACAAUGGGGGCAACCCUGAUCCAGCCAUGCCGCGUGAGCGAUGAAGGCCUUAGGGUUGUAAAGCUCUUUCACCGGUGAAGAUAAUGACGGUAGCCGGAGAAGAAGCCCCGGCUAACUCCGUGCCAGCAGCCGCGGUAAUACGGAGGGGGCUAGCGUUGUUCGGAAUUACUGGGCGUAAAGCGCGCGUAGGCGGAUUGUUAAGUCGGGGGUGAAAUCCCGGGGCUCAACCCCGGAACUGCCUCCGAUACUGGCAAUCUUGAGGUCGAGAGAGGUGAGUGGAAUUCCGAGUGUAGAGGUGAAAUUCGUAGAUAUUCGGAGGACACCAGUGGCGAAGGCGGCU
rnacentral:rRNA from 1 species